rnacentral:rRNA from 1 species
AACCGCGGUUAGACGAGAGGCCCCAGUUGAUUAACCCACGGCGUAAAGGGUGGUUAUGGGAAUCAGAAAAUAAAGCCAAAUAGUCCCUUGGCCGUCAUACGCUCCUGAGAACUAGAGGCCCAAACACGAAAGUUGCUUUAAAGAUUACCUGAACCCACGAAAGCUAAGAAA